GUAGGGGGCAAGCGUUGUCCGGAAUUAUUGGGCGUAAAGCGCGCGCAGGCGGUCUCUUAAGUCUGAUGUGAAAGCCCACGGCUCAACCGUGGAGGGUCAUUGGAAACUGGGAGACUUGAGUGUAGGAGAGGAAAGUGGAAUUCCACGUGUAGCGGUGAAAUGCGUAGAUAUGUGGAGGAACACCAGUGGCGAAGGCGACUUUCUGGCCUACAACUGACGCUGAGGCGCGAAAGCGUGGGGAGCAAACAGGAUUAGAUACCCUGGUAGUCCACGCUGUAAACGAUGAGUGCUAGGUGUUAGGGGGUUUCGAUGCCCUUAGUGCCGAAGUUAACACAUUAAGCACUCCGCCUGGGAGUACGGCCGCAAGGCUG
rnacentral:rRNA from 1 species